AAGUCGUAACAAGGUUUCCGUAGGUGAACCUGCGGAAGGAUCAUUAACAAAUCCAUGUUGUUGUUGGUGAUGACCGUCUUGAUGUUCAUUCUGUGUAUAUCAACGAUGCGUUCAUUACAAACAAACACAUUAGUUCCAUAUGUGUAUACAUUCGUUCAUUCGUUUUAUACACAUUGUGAUACAUUUCUACGAAUCGUCUGAUUUAUUCAUUUCAAUUACUAAACAAUAACUUUUAACAAUGGAUCUCUAGGCUCUU
rnacentral:misc_RNA from 1 species